GCCUGGUUAGUACUUGGAUGGGAAACCACUCUGGGAAUACCGGGU
rnacentral:rRNA from 1 species